AAAAGGAGGAGGCACUGAGAUGGAUGAAGGUGGAAGUUCUCAGCAUUUCUCCUAUCAAAAGAGACCGGAGCACACCAGCGAAGAGAGUUCAGAUGUAGAUGAAGAGAGCAAGGAAGCAAGACUGGCUCUGAGGAAAAGGGGAAAAACCAAAGUGGCCAAAGCAAAGGAGAAACCCUCUGUGAAGGUCAAGAGGCCGUGGAGUGGAGUGGAGAAAACAGCAGUACAAA